GGAAAGGUGAAAAGAACCCCGAACAGGGGAGUGAAAUAGAACCUGAAACCAUACGCUUACAACCUGUCGGAGCGGCUUCGUGCCGUGACGGCGUGCCUAUUGAAUAAUGAGCCUACGAGUUACUAAUCACUGGCAAGGUUAAGUGCACGGAUGCACGGAGCCGAAGCGAAAGCGAGUCUGAAUAGGGCGUUUAGUCAGUGGUUGUAGACGCGAAACCUUGCGAUCUACCCUUGAGCAGGUUGAAGGUUGGGUAAAACCAACUGGAGGACCGAACGAAUAAGCGUUGAAAAGCUUCUCGAUGACUUGAGGGUAGGGGUGAAAGGCUAAUCAAGCUGGGAAAUAGCUCGUACUCCCCGAAAUGCCUUUAGGGGCAGCGUUGUAAUUAAGAGUCUACUGGAGGUAGAGCUACUGAUUGGAUGCGGGGGCUUCACCGCCUACCAAAUCCUGACAAACUCCGAAUGCCAGUAGUAUGAUUUACAGCAGUGAGUGACUGGGUGCUAAUGUCCAGUCGCAAAAGAGGAACAACUCAGACCAGCAACUAAGGUCCCGAAGAAUAUGCUAAGUUGAUCUAACGAUGUUUUGUUGCAGAGACAGCUAGGAUGUUAGCUUGGAAGCAGCUAUUCAUUCAAAGAGUGCGUAACAGCUCACUAGUCGAGCGACAGAGCGUGGAUAAUAAACGGGCAUCAAGCAUAUCACCGAAGUUCUGGGCGCGAGAGCGCGGUAGGGGAGCAUUCCAUUCAGCGUCGAAGCAGUUUCGUGAGGAAUUGUGGAGCGUAUGGAAAAGCAAAUGUAGGCAUGAGUAACGAUAAUGCGGGAGAGUAACCCGCACACCGCAAGACCAAGGUUUCCUGAUCAACGCUAAUCGGAUCAGGGUUAGUCGGGUCCUAAGGGUAAGCCGAACGGUGAUCUCGAUGGAUAAUCGGUUAAUAUUCCGAUACUGACAUAUACCUCGAUGGAGAGACGAAGGAACGUAAGUGCCGCCACCUGACGGAAUAGGUGGUUAAAGGGCUUAGGUAUAGGGGCAGAUUAAGAGUUAGUCCUUGCUGAAACCUGACAGUACAGAGAGCCUACGGGCAAUUUGAUAGUGCACCCAAGUCGACUUCCGAGAAAAUCUUCUAAGUUAUAGUAUAUGUCACCCGUACCGUAAACCGACACAGGUGGUCGAGGAGAGUAUCCUAAGGUGCUCGAGUGAAUCACGGUUAAGGAACUAGGCAAAUUAACCCCGUAACUUCGGGAAAAGGGGUCCCUAUGAAAGUAGGGCGCAGCGAAGAGGUCCAGGCGACUGUUUAUCAAAAACACAGGGCUCUGCAAAUUCGAAAGAAGACGUAUAGGGCCUGACACCUGCCCGGUGCUGGAAGGUUAAGAGGGGAUGUCAUCGCAAGAGAAGCAUUGAAUCGAAGCCCCAGUAAACGGCGGCCGUAACUAUAACGGUCCUAAGGUAGCGAAAUUCCUUGUCGGGUAAGUUCCGACCUGCACGAAUGGUGUAACGAUCUGGACACUGUCUCAACCGUGAGCUCGGUGAAAUUGUAGUCCCGGUGAUGAUGCCGGGUACCCGCAACGGGACGAAAAGACCCCGUGAACCUUUACUAUAGCUUAACGCUGAAUUUGGGUACACAAUGUGUAGGAUAGGCAGGAGACUACGAAGCGGGCACGCCAGUGUUCGUGGAGUCGACGUUGAAAUACUGCCCUUUGUGUACUUGAGUUCUAACCCUCGAGAGGGGACACCGUUUGGUGGGUAGUUUGACUGGGGUGGUCGCCUCCAAAAGAGUAACGGAGGCUUCCCAAGGUACCCUCAGCACGAAUGGUAACCGUGCGUAGAGUGCAAUAGCAUAAGGGUGCUUGACUGUGAGACCAACAAGUCGAUCAGGUGCGAAAGCAGGGUAUAGUGAUCCGGUGGUUCUGCGUGGACUGGCCAUCGCUCAAAGGAUAAAA
rnacentral:rRNA from 1 species